UACGGGGGGGGCAAGCGUUGUUCGGAAUUACUGGGCGUAAAGGGACGGUAGGCGGCCAACUAAGUCCGACGUGAAAUCCCAAGGCUUAACCUUGGAACUGCGUCGGAUACUGGAUGGCUUGAAUUCGGGAGAGGGAUGCAGAAUUCCAGGUGUAGCGGUGAAAUGCGUAGAUAUCUGGAGGAAUACCGGUGGCGAAGGCGGCAUCCUGGACCGACAUUGACGCUGAAAGCCGAAAGCUAGGGGAGCAACGGG
rnacentral:rRNA from 1 species